AGCAGCCGCGGUAAUUCCAGCUCCAAUAGCGUAUAUUAAAGUUGUUGCAGUUAAAAAGCUCGUAGUUGAAUUUCGGGGUCAGUAGGUUGGUCAUGCCUCCGGUAUGUACUGGUCUCACUGAUUCCUCCUUCCUGAUGAGCCGUAAUGCCAUUAAUUUGGUGUUGCGGGGAAUCUGGACUGUUACUUUGAAAAAUUAGAGUGUUUAAAGCAAGCUAACGCUUGAAUACAUUAGCAUGGAAUAAUGGAAUAGGACGUUCGAUCCUAUUUUGUUGGUUUCUAGGAUUGACGUAAUGAUUAAUAGGGAUAGUUGGGGGCAUUAGUAUUCAAUUGUCAGAGGUGAAAUUCUUGGAUUUAUUGAAGACUAACUACUGCGAAAGCAUUUGCCAAGGAUGUUUUCAUUAAUCAAGAACGAAAGUUAGGGGAUCGAAGACGAUCAGAUACCGUCGUAGU
rnacentral:rRNA from 1 species